AAAGAAGGGAGUGGAUGAAGAAUCCCACUUGUAAAGAGGAUAACAGGUUAAUGAAAAGAAGCAAAGAAUGGCAAAGGGAGGUGCUGAUGCUAUCAAGAACCCAAGAUUCCUAAGACAUGUCAACAAGAGCAGAGCAAAGUAGACUGCCUUUCAAAGAUGAAGUUCCAGAAGGAAUGAAACAAGGCUGUUGCUUUCUGUGAACCUUUCCCUAAUCCCUCCCUCUCCCUCAAGCAAAGCCCAAAUUUCUUGGGCACCCCUGCCCUA